GAUGAACGCUGGCGGCGUGCCUAAUACAUGCAAGUCGAACGAAACUUCUUUAUCACCGAGUGCUUGCACUCACCGAUAAAGAGUUGAUUGGCUAACGGGUGAGUAACCCGUGGGCAACCUGCCCAAAAGACGGGGAUAAAACUUGGAAAAAGGUGCUAAUACCGCAUAACCAUAGUUACCGCAUGGUAACUAUGUAAAAGGUAGCUAUCCUCCAGCUUUUGGAUGGGCACGCGGCGCAUUAGCAAGUUGGUAGGCUAGAGGCUUACGACGGCAAGGAUGCGUAGCCGAAUUCAGAGGGUGAUCGGCCACAUUGGGACUGAGACACGGCCCAAACUCCUGCGGGAAGCAGCAGUAGGGAAUCUUCCACGAUGGGCGAAAGGCUGAUGGAGCAACGCCGCGUGGGUGAAGAAGGUCUUCGGAUCGUUAAACACUGUUGUUAGAGAGGUAAGUGCGUUAGAGUAACUGUUCACGUUUUGACGGUAUCUAACCGGAAAGCCACGGCUAACUACGUG
rnacentral:rRNA from 1 species